rnacentral:tRNA from 1 species
UUGGUUGAAGCUAAAAUAAGCAUAUCAUUGUUAAUGAUAAGAUUGAAAUAUCUUUCCUUCCAAA